ACGAGGCAGCGGGGAUUCGACUUCCCCUGGGGGUAG
rnacentral:tRNA from 1 species